AUGGUCCUCCUGGAAUCAGAAGUUUUUUUUUACUCAAUGGAGGAACGUAGUCAGGGAAAUGCUGAUGAAUGUCUUACUCGAGCUGUGUAUGUAACUGGUUCACCUCUGAUACUCAUAGGCAAUGUGUAUUGGAAGAGAUUUCUGAAUGUUCUUCGCUCAGCAUACACCCCUCCAACCAGACAUGCUUUAUCUACUAAUUUGCUGGAUGCAGAGUUCAACAGAGUUAAAGUGAAAAUCAAGCAAAUCAUAGAGAAAGCAGACUGUAUAGCAAUCAUCUCUGAUGGGUUGUCGAAUGUUUGUGGGCAACGAAUAAUUAACUACAUCAUCUCCACCCCUCAACCAGUAUUCUACAAGAGCUCAGACACAAGGGACAACAGACACACCGGUCUCUACAUUGCAGAUGAGCUGAAGGCCGUCAUCAAUGACCUUGGACCACAGAAGGUAUUUGCACUGGUGACAGACAAUGCUGCGAACAUGAAGGCUGCUUGGUCUAAAGUGGAGGAGUCCUACCCUCACAACACACCCAUUGGCUGUGCUGCUCAUGCAUUGAAUCUGCUCCUCAAAGACAUGAUGGCACUGAAAACAAUGGAUACACUCUACAAGAGAGCCAAGGAAAUGGUUAGGUAUGUGAAGGGUCAUCAAGUUAUAGCAGUAAUCUACCUCACCAAGCAAAGUGAGAAGAAUAAGAGCACCACAUUGAAGCUGCCCAGCAACACCUGUUGGGGUGGUGUUGUCAUCAUGUUUGACAGUCUCCUGGAGGGGAAGGCGUCUCUCCAAGAAAUGCCCAUAUCACAGUCUGCCGAUAUGGACAGUCCCAUCAAGAGAAUCUUCCUGGAUUAUGUAUUUUGGGAGAGAGUGGUAAGCAGCCUGAAACUCCUGAAACCUAUAGCAGUAGCCGUUGCACGGAUUGAGGGAGACAAUGGCAUCCUGUCUUACUCUGCUUGCAGAUGUAAGAGAAGAAAUCUGUACUGCCCAGCCCACUUCACUGUUGCUCCAAGCAGAGGAAACUGCAGUUCUAAAAUACACCAAAAAGCGUGA
rnacentral:lncRNA from 8 species